CUACGGGUCGCAGCAGUAGGGAAUCUUAGACAAUGGGGGAAACCCUGAUCUAGCCAUGCCGCGUGAGUGAUGAAGGCCUUAGGGUUGUAAAGCUCUUUCGCUGGGGAAGAUAAUGACGGUACCCAGUAAAGAAACCCCGGCUAACUCCGUGCCAGCAGCCGCGGUAAUACGGAGGGGGUUAGCGUUGUUCGGAAUUACUGGGCGUAAAGCGCGCGUAGGCGGGCUAUUAAGUCAGGGGUGAAAUCCCGGGGCUCAACCCCGGAACUGCCUUUGAUACUGGUAGUCUUGAGUUCGAGAGAGGUGAGUGGAAUUCCGAGUGUUGAGGUGAAAUUCGUAGAUAUUCGGAGGAACAUCAGUGGCGAAGGCGACUCACUGGCUCGAUACUGACGCUGAGGUGCGAAAGUGUGGGGAGCAAACAGGAUUAGAUACCCGCGUAGUC
rnacentral:rRNA from 1 species